UACGUAGGGUGCAAGCGUUGUCCGGAAUUAUUGGGCGUAAAGAGCUCGUAGGCGGUUUGUCGCGUCUGCUGUGAAAACUGGGGGCUCAACUCCCAGCCUGCAGUGGGUACGGGCAGACUAGAGUGCGGUAGGGGAGAUUGGAAUUCCUGGUGUAGCGGUGGAAUGCGCAGAUAUCAGGAGGAACACCGAUGGCGAAGGCAGAUCUCUGGGCCGUAACUGACGCUGAGGAGCGAAAGCAUGGGGAGCGAACAGG
rnacentral:rRNA from 1 species